GGGCGGUUGGUGGAGUAGUCAAACACACGACGCUGUAAACGUCGCGGCCGUUGGCCUUCGGGGGUGCAAAUCCCUCACCGCCCA
rnacentral:tRNA from 1 species